rnacentral:rRNA from 1 species
CCUACGGGAGGCAGCAGUGAGGAAUAUUGGACAAUGGGCGUAACCCUGAAGCAGCGAAGCCGCGUGAGUGAAGAAGUAUUUCUGUAUCUUAAGCUCUAUCAGCAGGGGAGAAAAUGACGGUACCUGAUUAAUCAGCCCCGGCUAACUACGUGCCAGCAGCCGCGGUAAUACGUAGGGGGCCAGCGUUAUCCGGAUUUACUGGGUGUAAAGGGAGCGUAGACGGCAGAAAAAGUCGGGAGUGAAAUGCCGGGGCUUACCCCCGGAACUGCUUUGGAAACUGUGGAGCUAGAGUGUAUGAGAGGUAAGUGGAAUGCCUAGUGUAGCGGUGAAAUGCGUAGAUAUUAGGAGGAACCCCAGUGGCGAAGGCGGCCUACCGGACUGUAACUGACGUUGAGGCUCGAAAGCGUGGGGAGCAAACAGGAUUAGAUACCCGGGUAGUC